UACAGAGACUGCAAGCGUUAAUCGGAAUUACUGGGCGUAAAGGGCUCGUAGGCGGCCAACUAAGUCAGACGUGAAAUCCCUCGGCUUAACCGGGGAACUGCGUCUGAUACUGGAUGGCUUGAGAUUGGGAGAGGGAUGCGGAAUUCCAGGUGUAGCGGUGAAAUGCGUAGAUAUAGGAAGGAAUACCAGUGGCGAAGGCGGCCUCCUGGAUCGAUACUGACGCUGAGGCGCGAAAGCGUGGGGAGCAAACAGG
rnacentral:rRNA from 1 species